UACGUAGGGUGCGAGCGUUAAUCGGAAUUACUGGGCGUAAAGCGUGCGCAGGCGGUUUUUUAAGCCAGAUGUGAAAUCCCCGGGGUUAAACUGGGAACUGCAUUUGGAACUGGAAGACUAGAGUACGGCAGAGGGGGGUAGAAUUCCACGUGUAGCAGUGAGAUGCGUAGAUAUGUGGAGGAAUACCGAUGGCGAAGGCAGCCCCCUGGGAUAACACUGACGCUCAUGCACGAAAACGUGGGGAGCAAACAGG
rnacentral:rRNA from 1 species